rnacentral:rRNA from 1 species
ACGCUCGACACCUACGGGAUGCAGCAGUGGGGGAAUAUUGCACAAUGGGGGAAACCCUGAUGCAGCGACGCCGCGUGGAGGAAGAAGGUCUUCGGAUUGUAAACUCCUGUUGUUGGGGAAAAAGAGGAUGGUACCCAACAAGGAAGUGACGGCUAACUACGUGUCAGCAGCCGCGGUAAUCUGAGCGGGCUGGCAAGGC